rnacentral:lncRNA from 1 species
CUCAUUUUCACACCUAAGACCUCUGAGAGUAGGAAGUUAAAGAGGAUGAUUGUAGUUGGAGAAGAUAGAAAGAAAGAAGAGGCUUCCCUCCUCCCCCUGCUCCACCCUUCUCUUCUCAAGCUGGAUCCACAGAAGGUGGCCCACGGGUGAGGAAGAAUGGAAGAGCCAGCCCCAAUCCGGCAACACUGUCAAAAAAACCCACUGUCCCCAG